GCUUAACACAUGCAAGUCGAACGGAAAUAUAUGAGUGUUUACAUGAGUAUAUUUUAGUGGCGGACGGGUGAGUAACACGUGGGUAACCUGCCCUAUGGAGGGGGAUAACACAUAGAAAUGUGUGCUAAUACCGCAUGAUGUAGUACCAUCGCAUGGUGGAACUAUCAAAGAUUUAUUACCAUAGGAUGGACCCGCGGCCCAUUAGCUAGUUGGUGAGGUAACGGCUCACCAAGGCGACGAUGGGUAGCCGAUCUGGGAGGAUGGACGGCCACAUUGGAACUGAGACACGGUCCAGACUCCUACGGGAGGCAGCAGUGGGGAAUAUUGCACAAUGGGGGAAACCCUGAUGCAGCAACGCCGCGUGAGUGACGAAGGCCUUCGGGUUGUAAAACUCUGUCUUAGCUGACGAUAAUGACGGUAAGCUAGGAGGAAGCCACGGCUAACUACGUGCCAGCAGCCGCGGUAACAC
rnacentral:rRNA from 1 species